AUUGAACGCUGGCGGCAUGCUUUACACAUGCAAGUCGAACGGUAACAGGCCGCAAGGUGCUGACGAGUGGCGAACGGGUGAGUAAUGCACCGGAACGUGCCCAGUCGUGGGGGAUAACGCAGCGAAAGCUGUGCUAAUACCGCAUACGAUCUAUGGAUGAAAGCGGGGGACCGUAAGGCCUCGCGCGAUUGGAGCGGCCGAUGUCAGAUUAGGUAGUUGGUGGGGUAAAGGCCUACCAAGCCGACGAUCUGUAGCUGGUCUGAGAGGACGACCAGCCACACUGGGACGGAGACACGGCCCAGACUCCUACGGGAGGCAGCAGUGGGGAAUUUUGGACAAUGGGAGCAAGCCUGAUCCAGCAAUGCCGCGUGCAGGAAGAAGGCCGUCGGGUUGUAAACUGCUUUUGUACGGAACGAAACGGUCUGGGUUAAUACCCUGGGCUAAUGACGGUACCGUAAGAAUAAGCACCGGCUAACUACGUGCCAGCAGCCGCCGUAUGAC
rnacentral:rRNA from 1 species